rnacentral:lncRNA from 1 species
UCAUGAGUCCCAACACCUAAUCUAGGAUUUUGGCCAAAAUACGUGAUUGAAGGCCUUCUCAAAAUGCAGCUUAGAGCUCAGUCCCAGAAGACGUGAUAUAGAAUGAGCGGAAAGCCAUCUGCUUCUGGUGCUUUGUCAUGUCCCAAUUCUACCAUGGCCAUACAAACUUCAGAUUUAGAGAAGGGGUGUCUAGUCAUGAAGCAGAUUUGUUAUAUCAUCAGUAGUUGAUGCAAAGCUGAAGUGGAUUAGAGUAAGAUUUGCAGUUAUAAAACUUCAAAGCUGACUAUAAUCCACUCGGACGCCG